GACGAACGCUGGCGGCGCGCUUAACACAUGCAAGUCGAACGGAAAGGCCUGCUUUCCCUUGUGGAUUGCGGGUACUCGAGUGGCGAACGGGUGAGUAACACGUGAGUGAUCUGCCCCCAACUUGGGUAUAAGCCUGGGAAACUGGGUCUAAUUCCCGAUAGGACUGCAGGGUGGUGCCGGUGGUGGAAAACGAUGUUCUAGUGGUUGGGGAUGAGCUCGCGGCCUAUCAGCUUGUUGGUGGGGGAAUGGCCGACCAAGGCGGCGACGGGAAGCCGGCCUGGGAGGGUGGACGGGCACGUGGGGACUGAGAUACGGCCCCGACUCCUACGGGAGGCAGCAGUGGGGAGUAUGACGCGAUGGACGGAAGCCUGAUGCAGCGACGCCGCGUGGGGGAUGACGGCCUUCGGGUUGUAAACUCCUUUCGGCCGCGAGGAAGCCACCUGGUUGGAAGGGUGGUGACGGUAGUGGUAGAAGAAGCACCGGCUAACUACGUG
rnacentral:rRNA from 1 species